GUUAAAUAUUGAAGUCUGGAUGACUCCCUCACAGAAAUGCCCGUGGAACAGGGCUCUUCAGGAGGUAUAAUCAUAGAAGGAUCCAUCAGAGGAAGGCAGCAGUGUAAUGGAUUGAACAACGGGCUAGAAGCCAAGGACAAAUCCUUAAUUUACCACUAACUGAAUGUUCUGCAUUGGACAACUCAGUCAGUCAGCAGCCUAGAAUUCAAGAAUAACCCUACAAUAAUAAAUCAGUAUGCAGGGGGGAUGGAAGAG